GCGACGGUGGUAUAAUGGUUAGCAUAACUGCCUUCCAAGCAGUUGACCCGGGUUCCAUUCCCGGCCGUCGCA
rnacentral:tRNA from 1 species